rnacentral:lncRNA from 12 species
ACCGUUGUUCUGCCAAAAUCGAAAGCAACAACAGGAGUAUCGGAAAUCAGCUGGCGCCUCUCACCCAGGCUGCCUGAGUUGCCCUUCAGGCUCCACCACACAGUAUUAACUGAUCAAUCCUCCCACAAAGAAAUGGUCAUGAGUAUCCUUUAUGACAUCAUGCGUGUUCACAUGGCUACUUCCUGUGUCCUGUCCGUUUGGAAUUCUGCCUACAUCAUUGCUAUGCUGCUGAGUACAUGGCAAUGGCAUCCCUGCUAUGCAGAUAUAGCUUCCUGGGUGUCUGGUAUGUGUAGGAAGAAGGUUCUGGUAGCAAUAUACUCUCUAGCUCCAUCCAUGUUGUUGCAAAUGGCAAGACUUUGCUCCUCUUUACAGGCUCUUUGACACAGAAAGACAAUGGGACCAGAGAGUGGCUGAUUUGACAGAAGGAGAGUAAAAAUGAUUGUUCCUAGAAUCCUAGAAUCAAGGAUAGAUAGGAAAGAAGGGACAUGGUUUCCUGACAUGUGGAGCAAA